CAUCAUCAUCAUUCAGAGUGUGAAAAAUCAAAAUCAAAAUCAUCACUGUUUUGAAAGAGAGAAGACAAAUAUGAAGACUCAAUGCAUGCUUUUAGCAACAUUGAUAAUGGCAGGAGCUCUAAUUUUGAGCGAUUAUGGGGCUUCAGGCUUUUCAGACAAUUGUGACGAAAACAAAGUUAGAGAAGUGGGAGCACAAUGUUUUAAGUAUAUCAAAAUUUCAGGACCAAAAAUCCCUCCUUCUAAAGGGUGUUGCAAUGUAUUGAAAAAUGCAGACAUGGGCUGCAUUUGCAAGCAUGUCACACGCAAUGUCACACCGAACUGAAAAAAAUGAUCAGUAUGGAAAAAGUUGUUUACGUGCUUCAGACCUGUGUGGCUUGGCAUUCACUCCUGGAACCAAAUGUGGAAGUCACACUGUUCUUGUGGAUUGAGAACAGAUUACAACCCUGGUGCAAUGCUCCUGUUGAAGCUACUUGAAGUUAGUAGGCUUUUAAAUUAGUAAAUAAAAGGAGUAUAAUUUUUUUAAAAAAUAAAUGUAUGUGUAUGUUAAAAAACUUUAUGUAAUAUAGCAAUGCCAAUUUUCUUUUCUA